rnacentral:rRNA from 1 species
ACGCUCGACACCUACGGGUGGCAGCAGUGGGGAAUAUUGGGCAAUGGGCGAAAGCCUGACCCAGCAACGCCGCGUGAGGGAAGAAGGUUUUCGGAUUGUAAACCUCUGUCCUCAGGGACGAAGGACGUGACGGUACCUGAGGAGGAAGCCCCGGCUAACUACGUGUCAGCAGCCGCGGUAAUCUGAGCGGGCUGGCAAGGC